rnacentral:lncRNA from 13 species
CAUUGUGAGCGAUAACGUCUGAUAACGCCGAGCAGCUGAUCCGAUAUGACAGACUUAUGAUAGCUCCGAAUUUGGCACGAAGUCAAACAACAAAUAGCAAAUCAUGCGAUCGAUAAAAAAACAAACCACCUUAGAUCACGAAAGGAUGAAGGUUUGCUGCUACCGCAGACAGAGGUCUGUAGGAAUUGUCACUGGGAUCCUUUCUAUUAAACGAUAAGGCUGGAUGCAUUAUGUCUUCCUCUCCAUCUGUACUCUCGUCAAUUAUUACAUUGGUUUCUUUUUUCUCUUUGGGCGAAUCAUACGUGACCUGUGUAUACUUUAUAUUCUGUAAAAUUUUAUGCGUAUGUUUCUUUCAAAACGUUGCAGCGAAGAGUUAUCAGUGGAGGAAGUAACAGAAUUCUCGGAGAGUCGUAGAAUAAAAUUUUGUGAAUCGUACACAGAGUCACCCACGUGCCAAUUAGACAUCGUUUCCAGUCUCGUUAUUUUCUCAUUUACUCCAAAAUAACCGUUUAUUUCUCACGAGUUUAUUUCUCGCUUGAACAAUCUCAAAGUUUUUCACAGUCACGGUCUUAAAUAGUGGCAGGAGGGAGAGGCAUAAACACACCGAGAGAUGAAACGAUGUCAACACAAUUAUCAAACAAAUGGAGGAUUUCGAUACAAUUCCAACGAACUUCCGUGCAGAUUCGCAACACUACGGUUUCAGGAACAUCAAACACUAAACUCAUUGGCUAGGUUCAGUUUGGUUCAGUUCUGUUGUCGACAAAGAAUCCACACAACUCAUCGAACUAGAUACUGGAACCUAUAAAAACAAGUUCCUUUGAUCAAAGCUCGACAAGGUGGACUAAAAACUAAUCAAUAAAAAAUUAGAAUAGAAAU